rnacentral:rRNA from 1 species
CCCAUCCAAAUCCAAUCGAAAGUUCAGCUCCAUCCUAAUCGCCGUCUGGGCAUCAUGAGUUCCUCCGUCGUGGCCUUCGGCAAUGACGACGGCGACGCCUGCGUGGGCGAGAACUCCGUCGUGGUCUCCGGCAAGGGCAAGGGCAAGGACGCCGUCAAGCCCUCGUGCACGGUGCAGUAUUCCUGCGUCAAGCGGCUUCGUGAGCGGCGCCUCCUCUCCUUCCUCCUGGACCAAGGCUUCCACGGCGCUUUCAGAGAGCUGAUCCGCGAGACGGCGGCGCUGUUCGACCUGCAGCACAUGCGGCGGCUGGUCAGGAGGGGCCGGUGGCACGACGCCCUCUUUUACCUCGGCACCUUCCUGCCGCCGCUCAAAAGUGAGCGGAGGAGCCUGCGCGCCAGGAUCUUCCACAACUUCCUCCUCAUGCACGGUCGCUUCGCCGACGUCGUCGCCGGCAACAAGGACCCGUACCUGGAGAAGCAGUACGCCGACGGCCGCAGUAACUCCACACACGCCGAGCGCAGGUUCCGCUCCAUGAACUACUCCAUACUCGCCCCGGACGCCGGCCAGCUCAGGGCCGCCAUCGACUGGGGCAGAGUGAGGAGCCACGCAGAGUUUGUUGUCCGCAGGAUGGCUCUUGCUACUCCAGAGCUGAGACGCCCGAUGGUGUUGCCGUCCUGCUGCAUGAUGCCGCACGAUGUACUCCCCAUCGGGACCGGUUUGUUCCGGAAGCGACGCGUGAAGAAACAAGGCCCCCAGCCGCGAAAAACAGACGCUAUCUUAAUGGCCAUAAAACACCAGCAGUAUUGCAGACAGUUUAGGGAAUCGAGCGUCGCGUCGAAAGAUGAAGCACUGGAACUGCUGGUGAAUUUCCUAGAUGAGACUCUACAGGCUGGCCUACCUAGAGGGUGCAAACUAACCUAUGACCUUCAACCAACUGGGAAAGAAGAUGCUUCUGAUGGUCCGUUUGCGCAGACCAUGCUCGGCACAUCCACAGAUAAUGUUAAAGCCCAUGCCACAUCAUUAGUGAAAAUUCCUGGUUCUCGAAUCUGCCAGAUCAUUACUAGUACCUUGAAAGUUCAUGCUAAAAACCCUGGGAUCUCCACACCGACGAAUGCAGAUACAAAGCGUUUCACACAAGCAGGUUGUGAUGCUCAGAAUAAAAUGGAUGGUCUGCCAACUGUUGAG